rnacentral:rRNA from 1 species
UAGUCCACGCCGUAAACGAUGGAUACUAGCUGUCCGGGUCCUUGAGACCUGGGCGGCCAAGCGAAAGUGAUAAGUAUCCCACCUGGGGAGUACGUUCGCAAGAAUGAAACGCAAAGGAAUUGACGGGGGCCCGCACAAGCGGUGGAGCAUGUGGUUUAAUUCGAUGAUACGCGAGGAACCUUACCAGGGCUUAAAUGUAUAUUGACAGGUUUAGAGAUAGACUUUCCUUCGGGCAAUUUACAAGGUGCUGCAUGGUUGUCGUCAGCUCGUGCCGUGAGGUGUCAGGUUAAGUCCUAUAACGAGCGCAACCCCUGUUGUUAGUUGCCAGCGAGUCAUGUCGGGGACUCUAACAAGACUGCCGGUGCAAACCGUGAGGAAGGUGGGGAUGACGUCAAAUCAUCACGGCCCUUACGUCCUGGGGCCACACACGUGCUACAAUGGGCGGUACAGAGAGCAGCCACGUCGCAAGGCGGAGCGAAUCUAUAAAACCGGGUCACAGUUCGGGAUCGGGGGUCUGC